rnacentral:rRNA from 1 species
UACGGGGGGGGCGAAGCGUUGUUCGGAAUUACUGGGCGUAAAGGCUCGUAGGCGGCCAACUAAGUCGGAUGUGAAAUCCCCAGGCUCAACCUGGGAACUGCAUCCGAUACUGGAUGGCUUGAAUUCGGGAGAGGGAUGCAGAAUUCCAGGUGUAGCGGUGAAAUGCGUAGAUAUCUGGAGGAAUACCGGUGGCGAAGGCGGCAUCCUGGACCGACACUGACGCUGAGGCGCGAAAGCUAGGGGAGCGAACGGG